rnacentral:rRNA from 1 species
UACGUAGGGUCCGAGCGUUGUCCGGAAUUAUUGGGCGUAAAGAGCUCGUAGGCGGUUCGGUAAGUCGGGUGUGAAAACUCUGGGCUCAACCCAGAGCCGCCACCCGAUACUGCUGUGACUUGAGUUCGGUAGGGGAGCGGGGAAUUCCUGGUGUAGCGGUGAAAUGCGCAGAUAUCAGGAGGAACACCGGUGGCGAAGGCGGGACUCUGGGCCGAUACUGACACUGAGGAGCGAAAGCGUGGGGAGCGAACAGG